rnacentral:rRNA from 1 species
GUUAGAGGGUUUCCGCCCUUUAGUGGUGGAAGUUAACGCAUUAAGCACUCCGCCUGGGGAGUACGGCCGCAAGGCUGAAACUCAAAGGAAUUGACGGGGGCCCGCACAAGCGGUGGAGCAUGUGGUUUAAUUCGAAGCAACGCGAAGAACCUUACCAGGUCUUGACAUCCUCUGCCAACCCUAGAGAUAGGGCUUCUCCUUCGGGAGCAGAGUGACAGGUGGUGCAUGGUUGUCGUCAGCUCGUGUCGUGAGAUGUUGGGUUAAGUCCCGCACCGAGCGCAACCCUUGAUCUUAGUUGCCAUCAUUAAGUUGGGCACUCUAAGGUGACUGCCGGUGACAAACCGGAGGAAGGUGGGGAUGACGUCAAAUCAUCAUGCCCCUUAUGACCUGGGCUACACACGUGCUACAAUGGACGGUACAAAGAGCUGCAAGACCGCGAGGUGGAGCUAAUYUCAUAAAMCCGUUCUCAGUUCGGAUUGUAGGCUGCAACUCGCCUACAUGAAGCUGGAAUCGUUAGUAAUCGCGGAUCACCAUGCCGCGGUGAAUACGUUCCCGGGCCUUGUACACACCGCCCGUCGCACCACGAGAGUUUGUAACACCCGAAGUCGGUGGGGUAACCUUUUGGAGCCAGCCCCA